AACCAGCUCUUCAAGUGGUCGGGAUAAUUAUUGAGCUUAAAGUGUCCGUAGCCGGUUUAGUAAGUUCCUGGUAAAAUCGGGUAGCUUAACUAUCUAUAUGCUAGGAAUACUACUAUACUAGAGGGCGGGAGAGGUCUGAGGUACUACAGGGGUAGGGGUGAAAUCUUAUAAUCCUUGUAGGACCACCAGUGGCGAAGGCGUCAGAUUGGAACGCGCCUGACGGUGAGGGACGAAAGCCAGGGGAGCGAACCGGAUUAGAUACCCGGGUAGUCCUGGCCGUAAACGAUGCAUACUAGGUGAUGGCACGGCCAUGAGCCGUGUCAGUGCCGUAGGGAAACCGUUAAGUGUGCGGCCUGGGAAGUACGGUCGCAAGGCUAAAACUUAGAGGAAUUGGCGGGGGAGCACCACAAGGGGUGAAGCCUGCGGUUC
rnacentral:rRNA from 1 species